GACGAACGCUGGCGGCGUGCCUAAUACAUGCAAGUAGAACGCUGAAGGAGGAGCUUGCUUCUCUGGAUGAGUUGCGAACGGGUGAGUAACGCGUAGGUAACCUGCCUGGUAGCGGGGGAUAACUAUUGGAAACGAUAGCUAAUACCGCAUAAGAGUAGAUGUUGCAUGACAUUUACUUAAAAGGUGCAAUUGCAUCACUACCAGAUGGACCUGCGUUGUAUUAGCUAGUUGGUGAGGUAACGGCUCACCAAGGCAACGAUACAUAGCCGACCUGAGAGGGGGAUGGGCCACACUGGGACUGAGACACGGCCCAGACUCCUACGGGAGGCAGCAGUAGGGAAUCUUCGGCAAUGGACGGAAGUCUGACCGAGCAACGCCGCGUGAGUGAAGAAGGUUUUCGGAUCGUAAAGCUCUGUUGUAAGAGAAGAACGAGUGUGAGAGUGGAAAGUUCACACUGUGACGGUAUCUUACCAGAAAGGGACGGCUAACUACGUG
rnacentral:rRNA from 1 species